AUGUCUGGAAGCACGGGAGAACAUUCUUUUGCUGAUAUUAUUUCCAGUAUUCGAUACUGGGUUAUUCAUAGCAUUACUAUACCUUCCCUAUUCAUUGCGGGUUGGUUAUUUGUCAGUACGGGUUUAGCUUAUGACGUGUUUGGAAGUCCUAGGCCAAACGAGUAUAUCACGGAAAGUCGACAAGGAAUUCCGUUAAUAACCGACCGUUUUGAUUCUUUAGAACAACUCGAUGAAUUUAGUAGAUCCUUUUAG
rnacentral:rRNA from 1 species